CAUUAACAUAGUGAUUGAUUUUAGAAUAUUGAAUCCACCUGGCUUCUUGGAAUAAACCCCAUUUGGUUGUGGUGUAUAAUUGUUUUUAACAUAUUGCUGAAUGUAGUUUGCUAACAUUUAUUGAGGAUUUUUAUGCUUACAUUCAUGAAGGACACUUGUCUGGUUUCUCUUUAUUUCAUGCUGUCUUUACCUUUGGUUUGGUACUAGGAUAAUACUAGCUUUAUAACAUGAAUUUGAAAGUGUUCCUUACUCAGGAAAAGGCUGUGUGAAAUUGAUAUUAAUCCUUAAUUGUUUGUGAAAUUCUUGAGCAAAACUAUCUGGGCUGGAGAUUUUGUGGAGUGGGGUUACAAUUAUGAACUUAAUCUUAUUACAGUUAUGGGUCUAUUUAAAUGAUCUAUUUUAUAAUGGGUAAGUUGUGAGAAUUAGUUUUUUUUUCCAAAGAGUUGGUUAAUUCUUCUAGGUUGUCAAAUUUGUG
rnacentral:lncRNA from 1 species